UUCCUAAGCAAGAGGCAGAAGGAUGAGGGGGAGAUAUAAUAUGAAGAACAGAUAGAGAAUACCUAUUCCUGUUGGUCAAAACAGGGAUCAGCAGAAUCCUGGAACCUGGCUUCCUAUCAUCACAAUAAGAAAACUGAGACCAGAGAGAUUAAAUGAGUUGUGUGUCCAAAUUCACAGAGUUGGGACUAAGGUUAGAAGCUGCUACUGUAAUCCCGACUGCUUUUCACAAGAUCUGGAACAAUGUAAGUGGUUUAUAUAUGUUUGUUGCCCUACUGCCUCUCUCCAUAAUGUCAUUUCAUGGAAUGUCAAACAGAACCAGUUGACAACUAGAAGGGCAAUUAAUCUUCAGUCAAAUGACCCUAAGACUCUGCAAGAUCAUGAAGAGCUUUCUGAAUCAGAGAACAAUAAAAUUCUCUUCAGCAGAUGUGCCAUUUUGUCUCGAUUCACUUUUUUAAAAUAUAGAAUACAUUUUAUACAUAAAAUAUGUAUAAUAUAGCAACAUGAUUUAUUAUACAUAUGAUUUAUUAUAAAUAUGUAAUAAAUUAUAAUGGUUAUCCA
rnacentral:lncRNA from 1 species